UUAAGCGACUAAGCGUACACGGUGGAUGCCCUGGCAGUCAGAGGCGAUGAAGGACGUGCUAAUCUGCGAUAAGCGUCGGUAAGGUGAUAUGAACCGUUAUAACCGGCGAUUUCCGAAUGGGGAAACCCAGUGUGUUUCGACACACUAUCAUUAACUGAAUCCAUAGGUUAAUGAGGCGAACCGGGGGAACUGAAACAUCUAAGUACCCCGAGGAAAAGAAAUCAACCGAGAUUCCCCCAGUAGCGGCGAGCGAACGGGGAGCAGCCCAGAGCCUGAAUCAGUGUGUGUGUUAGUGGAAGCGUCUGGAAAGGUGCGCGAUACAGGGUGACAGCCCCGUACACAAAAAUGCACAUGCUGUGAGCUCGAUGAGUAGGGCGGGACACGUGGUAUCCUGUCUGAAUAUGGGGGGACCAUCCUCCAAGGCUAAAUACUCCUGACUGACCGAUAGUGAACCAGUACCGUGAGGGAAAGGCGAAAAGAACCCCGGCGAGGGGAGUGAAAAAGAACCUGAAACCGUGUACGUACAAGCAGUGGGAGCACGCUUCGGCGUGUGACUGCGUACCUUUUGUAUAAUGGGUCAGCGACUUAUAUUCUGUAGCAAGGUUAACCGAAUAGGGGAGCCGAAGGGAAACCGAGUCUUAACUGGGCGUUAAGUUGCAGGGUAUAGACCCGAAACCCGGUGAUCUAGCCAUGGGCAGGUUGAAGGUUGGGUAACACUAACUGGAGGACCGAACCGACUAAUGUUGAAAAAUUAGCGGAUGACUUGUGGCUGGGGGUGAAAGGCCAAUCAAACCGGGAGAUAGCUGGUUCUCCCCGAAAGCUAUUUAGGUAGCGCCUCGUGAAUUCAUCUCCGGGGGUAGAGCACUGUUUCGGCAAGGGGGUCAUCCCGACUUACCAACCCGAUGCAAACUGCGAAUACCGGAGAAUGUUAUCACGGGAGACACACGGCGGGUGCUAACGUCCGUCGUGAAGAGGGAAACAACCCAGACCGCCAGCUAAGGUCCCAGAGUCAUGGUUAAGUGGGAAACGAUGUGGGAAGGCCCAGACAGCCAGGAUGUUGGCUUAGAAGCAGCCAUCAUUUAAAGAAAGCGUAAUAGCUCACUGGUCGAGUCGGCCUGCGCGGAAGAUGUAACGGGGCUAAACCAUGCACCGAAGCUGCGGCAGCGACGCUUAUGCGUUGUUGGGUAGGGGAGCGUUCUGUAAGCCUGUGAAGGUGUGCUGUGAGGCAUGCUGGAGGUAUCAGAAGUGCGAAUGCUGACAUAAGUAACGAUAAAGCGGGUGAAAAGCCCGCUCGCCGGAAGACCAAGGGUUCCUGUCCAACGUUAAUCGGGGCAGGGUGAGUCGACCCCUAAGGCGAGGCCGAAAGGCGUAGUCGAUGGGAAACAGGUUAAUAUUCCUGUACUUGGUGUUACUGCGAAGGGGGGACGGAGAAGGCUAUGUUGGCCGGGCGACGGUUGUCCCGGUUUAAGCGUGUAGGCUGGUUUUCCAGGCAAAUCCGGAAAAUCAAGGCUGAGGCGUGAUGACGAAGCACUACGGUGCUGAAGCAACAAAUGCCCUGCUUCCAGGAAAAGCCUCUAAGCAUCAGGUAACAUCAAAUCGUACCCCAAACCGACACAGGUGGUCAGGUAGAGAAUACCAAGGCGCUUGAGAGAACUCGGGUGAAGGAACUAGGCAAAAUGGUGCCGUAACUUCGGGAGAAGGCACGCUGAUAUGUAGGUGAAGUCCCUCGCGGAUGGAGCUGAAAUCAGUCGAAGAUACCAGCUGGCUGCAACUGUUUAUUAAAAACACAGCACUGUGCAAACACGAAAGUGGACGUAUACGGUGUGACGCCUGCCCGGUGCCGGAAGGUUAAUUGAUGGGGUUAGCGGUAACGCGAAGCUCUUGAUCGAAGCCCCGGUAAACGGCGGCCGUAACUAUAACGGUCCUAAGGUAGCGAAAUUCCUUGUCGGGUAAGUUCCGACCUGCACGAAUGGCGUAAUGAUGGCCAGGCUGUCUCCACCCGAGACUCAGUGAAAUUGAACUCGCUGUGAAGAUGCAGUGUACCCGCGGCAAGACGGAAAGACCCCGUGAACCUUUACUAUAGCUUGACACUGAACAUUGAGCCUUGAUGUGUAGGAUAGGUGGGAGGCUUUGAAGUGUGGACGCCAGUCUGCAUGGAGCCGACCUUGAAAUACCACCCUUUAAUGUUUGAUGUUCUAACGUUGACCCGUAAUCCGGGUUGCGGACAGUGUCUGGUGGGUAGUUUGACUGGGGCGGUCUCCUCCUAAAGAGUAACGGAGGAGCACGAAGGUUGGCUAAUCCUGGUCGGACAUCAGAGGUUAGUGCAAUGGCAUAAGCCAGCUUGACUGCGAGCGUGACGGCGCGAGCAGGUGCGAAAGCAGGUCAUAGUGAUCCGGUGGUUCUGAAUGGAAGGGCCAUCGCUCAACGGAUAAAAGGUACUCCGGGGAUAACAGGCUGAUACCGCCCAAGAGUUCAUAUCGACGGCGGUGUUUGGCACCUCGAUGUCGGCUCAUCACAUCCUGGGGCUGAAGUAGGUCCCAAGGGUAUGGCUGUUCGCCAUUUAAAGUGGUACGCGAGCUGGGUUUAGAACGUCGUGAGACAGUUCGGUCCCUAUCUGCCGUGGGCGCUGGAGAACUGAGGGGGGCUGCUCCUAGUACGAGAGGACCGGAGUGGACGCAUCACUGGUGUUCGGGUUGUCAUGCCAAUGGCACUGCCCGGUAGCUAAAUGCGGAAGAGAUAAGUGCUGAAAGCAUCUAAGCACGAAACUUGCCCCGAGAUGAGUUCUCCCUGACUCCUUGAGAGUCCUGAAGGAACGUUGAAGACGACGACGUUGAUAGGCCGGGUGUGUAAGCGCAGCGAUGCGUUGAGCUAACCGGUACUAAUGAACCGUGAGGCUUAACCUU
rnacentral:rRNA from 1 species